rnacentral:rRNA from 1 species
UACGUAGGGGGCGAGCGUUGUCCGGAGUUACUGGGCGUAAAGCGCUUGUAGGCGGUCCACCAAGUUUGGGGUGACAGUUGCCGACUUAAUCGGCAAAGUGCCUCAAAGACUGGCGGACUUGAGGGCCACAGAGGGACAUGGAACUCCAGGUGUAGUGGUGAAAUGCGUAGAUAUCUGGAAGAACACCUAAGGCGAAGGCAGUGUCCUGGGUGGUCGCUGACGCUGAGAGGCGAAAGCCAGGGGAGCGAACGGG